rnacentral:rRNA from 1 species
GCGGCAGGCUUAACACAUGCAAGUCGAGCGAAGACUUCGGUCUUAGCGGCGGACGGGUGAGUAACGCGUGGGAACGUGCCCUUCUCUACGGAAUAGUCCCGGGAAACUGGGUUUAAUACCGUAUACGCCCUUCGGGGGAAAGAUUUAUCGGAGAAGGAUCGGCCCGCGUCUGAUUAGAUAGUUGGUGGGGUAAUGGCCUACCAAGUCGACGAUCAGUAGCUGGUUUUAGAGGAUGAUCACCCACACUGGGACUGAGACACGGCCCACACUCCUACGGGAGGCAGCAGUGGGGAAUCUUAGACAAUGGGCGCAAGCCUGAUCUAGCCAUGCCGCGUGAGUGAUGAAGGCCUUAGGGUCGUAAAGCUCUUUCGCUGGGGAAGAUAAUGACGGUACCCAGUAAAGAAACCCCGGCUAACUCCGUGCCAGCAGCCGCGGUAAUACGGAGGGGGUUAGCGUUGUUCGGAAUUACUGGGCGUAAAGCGCGC